CCCCAAUCAUCAUCAGGGGGGAAUUGUGAAUUUUAAAAUCUUCAUCUUGCUUGGUCUAGCACCCAAAAUUGUGCACAUCCACACUACACAGGCAUAUGCUAGUCAAUGACAAAUCAGAAAUAACUAACUGCCCACCUGGGCUGUCCUAAGCCAAGCUAGAGCCAACCAUUGGCACUUGUGAGACACAGGAAGUGAGGUAGGGAACAGCCUCUGGAAUUCGCUCACUUCCUGUGGAGAGAGCUAGACGCCAGUUCCUGCUAGGAGCUUGAGGAGGGAGGAGGCCCACACACAGCUUCCCUUCAGAUCAGUCACGGGGCAAGAUGGAGCAUUUUGGCUGUGAUUGGGCUGCCUGCUUCAUGAUUCUCCUCCAGCUGCCUCUGCACCACCUGUGUUCUAAUCCCUGAGCCUGGCACAACUUUGCUGGCAAGAUUCUCCCUGCAGAGUAGUGCCCUUGCCUGCCCAGAGAUUCCAGACACCACUGCAGGCUCAGUGCUGAAUAAUGAACUGGAGAAAUUCCAUGUGAACUGGAACGACCUCCAGGAACUGAUGCAGAGCAAGAGGAACAAAACCAGAAGAACAUUGUACACAGAGACUGAUACA
rnacentral:lncRNA from 1 species